AUUUUCUUAAGCAAUGUGUUCUUCACCUUCAUGCGUAUUUGGUUUUUUAUUUCUAAUUUAGAUAUCAAAUGAGUUCAUGUGUCUUAUUUUGGCAGAAAAGCAUGCUGGGUCACCUGCUUACUAGGAGUGAGCUCUUUGAUAAGGUCUACACCAAGAGAAUCACUUUGAGGAGAAUUUGGCAAAAGCCAUCAGGGAGCGUUCCACUCAGAUUGUUGCGAGGCCUAGAACCGCCUCCAAUCUCGAAGCGUGAGAGGGUGCACCCCGAUUCUCUAAUGUUGUUGGGAUGCCAGAUGAUCAUUCGUAGACUUGAUGGAACGGAUUACUUGUGCAGCACGAUAAGCAGAAGAUGAGGUAUGCGGAGUUAGAGACACGCUACCAUCAGAGUAGAAGGAGUGAAGGCAAAUUCAUCAAAUGCAGUAGGGGGAGAUCACCCGCCACCAGCAGAAUGCAUAAAUGAUUGAUUUCAAGGGCGUCGUGAGUCAAUUGUACAUGUUUGUGCGGUCUCUUCCAAUGGAAUUUGACUCGCACACUUUUAUCGACACUGUCAGUAAAAGUCAUCAAUAAUGUUCAAAGUUUUUGUAGUGGUUACUGAUAAUUGUCAGUUAAAGUGAACACACUUUAAUUGUGGUCAAGUCUUAUGAAUCAUGUUUUUUUAACACCAUAUUUACUACCAUUCAAAACGGUGUCAACAUAAAGUAAAUUCCAAAAAGUAUUUCAGCUCA